rnacentral:misc_RNA from 1 species
UUGACAACACCUUAUUCCGUCAAUCAAUUUUACAAGUUGUUUUCCAUGAAUUUAUUUGUUUAUAAAAUUAAAUUUGAUUUAGAAAAUGCGGUGAAUGUAUUAAAAUAAAAACUUAUAUUUGAUGCCUCAAGACAUAAGUAGUAAAAUGGCGGGUAAAGUCACAAAACUAUCGUGACAUAAUUAUGCAUGAAAAUGUUUGCUCCGUAUCAAUGCAAUAAGUGCUAUUUUAAUUUCGGUAAAUUAAGUAACCAUUCUGCCUAUAAUAUGUGGUACGCUGCCUUAAUACGAUUUAUAAGGAGAAGAUUAGUAUUAGGUAUAAUAUUUGCGUCCUCUUUAACUUACUGCGUCGUCAGUUUCCUAAAAGAGGGUAACAAUAGAAACAUGGUAUACCAAGAUGUAUCAAUAGAAAGUAAACCGUUUGUGUGGAGAACACUACAGGAACACAAUGACACAAAUGAUAUUAUGACAUGUAGAAACUCGGUGCAAGGACAAGAUCUUCUUGUUGACGAUAGAGGAUAUGUGUGUCAAAGAAAAGAUGUUAUGAAAAAUGGUUGCUGUGAUUUGGAAGGAGACUUUACUGAAAGAUACAGUUGUGAGUCAUGUUCAGACAGCAACUGUUGUAUUAUAUAUGAGCACUGUGUGUCAUGUUGCUUAGACCCCGGCAAGAGAGACAUGCUGGAAAUUGUCUUGUCAAAGCUGUCAACGGAAAAGAAUGUGUUGUUCCGUUCACUGAGUGACGACUACGAAUUGUGCUUAACGAAAUGCAGAACAAGCUCUCACAGCGUUCUACAUGAGAACUCUUACAAGGACCCAGACAAUAAGCAUUGUUUCGGUGAUGAAUCGCCAGGGAAGAGGCCAGAUUAAAAUCAUUACAUUUAUUUAGAUGUGUUAUUAACAUAUGGACAUAUCAAAUUCAGCCAUUAUUUAAAGUUAGCACAGAGAUAAUUCACAAUGUUUAUGGAAUUAUGAGUCAUAAUUUACAUAAGCCUUAUAACUUGUUUUAUUCAUGCUCGGCCUGCGGAAUGCAAUGAUGUACUAUCUAAUUUUGCAGACAAUUAGGUAUUCUGCAUCUAUUUAUUGGCAAUAAUUUGUGAAAUUACUUUAAGUUUCAGUAAUGAAUUAAUGCAACAAUUUUAUUAAUAUUCAUACAUGAAGACAAUACUAAUUCUGCAUGGGCCAAAGAAAUCAUUACUUAGUAAGUACUUUUAAUUUUAAUAUUAUUAGAUUUAAUAGAAUUCCGUUUAAUUUUUUAUACUGAUUACAUUGAUUACAUACACUUCAGACAACGAAAUUAAAGAUAAAUAUUUAACUAUUGAUUCGAAAUAUACAGUCUUACUUAUAAAAAAUUCACAAAGCUAUGCUUAGUUAAAACACAAAUUUACUCCAUUAGCUGUAAGUCAAAACCCGCCAUCUUGCCUCUUAAAAGAUUUAAAUUAGGAAACCGGUGAUGUCUUUGACAGCUAUUUAAACAAUUCUAAACCACCUCUUAACGCUAAAACAAGUUUAUAAGUAAGACUGUAUAAAUCUAGAAAUUAACUGGCCACAACUUAUUUUAAACGCGUCUGAAUGCAAAAAUAUCAAAAAGAUACGACAUUCUUCCUUGUUUUAUACUGUGGAUAUAAUGUUAAUCCCGCCAUCAGCAGACAACCAGGUUUGUCCAUAAACAAUGUUAGAGAAUAUAUAAAAUUGUUAAUUAUUCCAUAGAGAAUUUGUGUAAUUUUCGUUUUCCUCACACCCAUGCAACAAACGCUCGUUACUUUUAAAAAUAACCGACGUAUCUUCAUGAGUUCACAUAUUCAAUUUGGCAUUUGUCGUUGAUGCAGGUGGCAUAUUCCGUUAGCGAGGUUUAUAUUAGCAAGAAAAUUUGCAGAAGUCGACUUGCGUAAGCAAUUUUUACAGUGAAACAAUCACUAGCUGGUUUCUGUUAAGUUUAAACCUUGCGAUACUUGCGGCAUAUUGCACAUGUAUAGAACAAUUGAAAUAUUGCUGCUAAUGUAAAUUCGUCUGGACGUGUUGUGCAAUAUAUUGCAGCAAGAAGUUGCUAGUCUAAACUUAGCAAUAGACGUAGAGACGAUAGUAAUAGCGAGCGCCUUCUAUACAGGUGUGAAGUGAAUACAGACAGAAAACUAAGUAAUAAAUCGUGCGAGCAUCAGGGGUAUUUUCUAAGAUUCUGAUUAGUCCACGUAAUAUAUAAUAAAUAAAUGUUUCCUGCAAGCCGGAAAGAUUUAUUUACAUUCAUGUAAUAAAUAAAAUACGAUUUGUAAUAAUUGCUUGUUAUAAUGAAAGAGACAGUUACGAAAGAAGAAGUAAUUUUGACAGACCAUAGUGCAGCAUGAAGUUUGAUUUCACAAGAAUUAUGUCUACAUUCCAAUAUACAUGAGCUAUUAAGCUGCUAAAGUAUUGGGAAGUAACUAUGAAAUUAGUAAUACAGAGGAGAUAUUAAGUGGGAGGAAAA